rnacentral:tRNA from 2 species
UGGGCUGUCGCCAAGUGGUAAGGCACGGGACUUUGACUCCCGCAUUCGCUGGUUCGAGUCCAGCCAGCCCAACCA